rnacentral:rRNA from 1 species
GAUGAACGCUGGCGGCGUGCUUAACACAUGCAAGUCGAACGGAAAGGCCCAAGCUUGCUUGGGUACUCGAUUGGCGAACGGGGGAGUAACACGUGGGGGAUCUGCCCUUCACUUCGGGAUAAGCCUGGGAAACUGGGUCUAAUACCGGAUAGGACCACUUCUUGGAUGUUGUGGUGGAAAGUUUUUUCGGUUUGGGAUGAGCUCGCGGCCUAUCAGCUUGUUGGUGGGGUAAUGGCCUACCAAGGCGUCGACGGGUAGCCGGACUCUGAGAGUGUACGGCGAUACAGGGACCGAGAGAAGGCCGAGAUACCUAAGGGAGGCCGAAGGGGGGAAUACUGAACGAGGGGCGCAAGCCGGAUGCAGCGAGGCCGCGUGGGGGAUGACGGUGUUAGGGUUGUAAAAUACUUUCGCUAGGGACGAAGCGCAUUGUGACGGUACCUAGAGAAGAAGCACCGGCUAACUACGUG